UCUCACUGCUGGCCGAAGAUGGAGACAAUAGAUACUUCAUGUCCAAAGACACACCAUGAAAAAGUAGUGAAGCAGCUUCUCUCCAGCUGGUUAGGUGAUUCUUCACCCUCUUAUCUAUGUCAAGGGUAUAAAUGAGUCAGCACAGAGAUUAUGAAAAGUCUUUGAGAAGGAGAUUCUUAGAAAAGAACUUUGCUGUAAACCCCUAACUUCAUAUAGAACAAGGAGUGUGUGUAUGUGUGCAUGUGCACACAUGCAGGGGGCAUUGAUCCUUCUUCCUUCAAAUCAUUGAAACCAUGUAGAAGAUUUGGUAUCUGUCACUUUCAGUAAGGAGCAUAGUAGCCUGGUGCCUGACUCCUACUUAACCAAAGGACAAGGAUGAGCCAGGUAGGUGUGGCUGGAUGAGCUGAUGGCAAGGGGGCUGCUUUGUGUGAAUAGUGCUUCUAGAGUAUGUUAGGCAAAGCGAGUGUUUCUCUGGACCAGAAGUGGACCCUAGGUGAUACCAAGUGUGAAGUUAUCUCAGGACCUGUUCAAAAGGACUCGCUGUGAAGGUAAUGGGAACUCAAUGGAGAGAAGCUGAAGGUAUUCAUUGCUAGGUUCUUGGGAAGUCAAGAAUGAGUAAGUGGUCAUCUGUAAAAGCCAAGUGUCUGAAUAUAUAAAGGGAGAGACUCCUAGUGAUUGUUUUAGAGAUGGAUUCUCAAGGACCAUGAAAGUGUCCCAUCAGAGAGAGCAUUGGGUAAAAACAUUUGCCAAGCUCAGAACAAAAGGCAAGCUUCUAACAGUGCCAGAUUUUCCUGAGUGGAGAGGAGGAAAGGAUGAGCCCUCCUCCCACCCCUGGAACACCCCCUGGGACAAGCCCGGGGACCUUGGGUCUCUAAUCACAGUGGAACAGGACAUUGGAUCUUAUCACUGACCAGGAGCUGAACAUCAGAACAAUGUUGGGAAAUGGAGUGAUUUUGCCUGGCAGAUGCAACAUCUUUAGGGUGAUGUCAGACACUGGUAAGAAAGCUGCCUUUGUUGUAACUGGCGAUGUUCAUCCUGAAAUGAGGGUCCCAGGACCACCCUGGGAAGAAAUGACGUGAGGCAUCAAGGCCUUUUAUGGGUGGGAGGGAUAGACUCGUAGGAUGCUGCACAUGGAUGGCAUUCAGAGCUCAUCCUGCUUUUGGCUCUUAAGAUGUAGCUUAACUCACCUGGAGAGAGUUUUUAAGAAACAGGUACGAAGACCCCAGCCCCAGAAGGGCUAGAUCGUGGUAUCCAGAAUAACAUCUGGCGUGAGAAUUGGAUAACGUUUUGGGGAGAUUCUGAUUCAUAUUCUUGAUGAAGUACCAUCAGACAAGUCCAACUCUUUCAUUUUACAUUUAUGUAUCCUCCUCAUCAGAGAUCAACUUUCUUUAGGAACAAAAUUAAUAUCCCAAAUUCAAAGACUUGAAAAUAAUGCAGUCCUACCAAGGCAAAUGGAAAUAGUCACAACCUCUGGGUCCAGCUCAUCAUUUUCCAGGAGAGGUGGUGAGAUAAUUAAAGAAAAGACACACAUCUGGCAAAUGAUAGAAACAGGUUUAGGAUUUGGAUUCCCUGACUCCUGAAGCAGUUUUUCUUUCCAGUACACUCUCUUGCCCUCUGUUUUGCUUAGAGCUUAAAUCUAGCCAAUGAACUGAAUUGAUUAACUCCAGUAAUAUCAACACUAUCUCCCUUAAUGAGCAGUUCAUAUGGUUAUACUUUCCCAAAUCAUUCUACUUUAUUUAAAAGCUUAGUUUUGUUUUGUUUUGGUUUGUUUUGUUUCAUUUUCUUUUAUUGGGGAAUGUCAACAUUUAACACCCACUGGGUGCAGAUGAGCAGUUUUCUGGGGCAUGAAAGACGUAGCACCCAAAGCAGUCGUGAGAUUCUGUCACUGCUCUGGGCAUUGGAUGUCUUUCUUGGUUAUGCCCCAGUAGAAACUACAGUCCCUCUUCCUGGUCACAUCAUCACCAUUGUGACUGGCUCACUCUAUGUGGCCCAAACGAUUUCUGAGCAAGAGCAUCCGCUGACUCCUUAAAAAUACUCCUUAAAAAUAAACCUGUUUUAGCCAGGUUCACACACUUUCAUCCUUUUUAUGUCUUUAAUUAAAAACUAAAAAUAUCCUU
ensembl:lncRNA